rnacentral:rRNA from 1 species
GAACUGAAGAGUUUGAUCAUGGCUCAGAUUGAACGCUGGCGGCAGGCCUAACACAUGCAAGUCGAGCGGAUGAUUGGAGCUUGCUCCAUGAUUCAGCGGCGGACGGGUGAGUAAUGCCUAGGAAUCUGCCUGGUAGUGGGGGACAACGUUUCGAAAGGAACGCUAAUACCGCAUACGUCCUACGGGAGAAAGAGGGGGAUCUUCGGACCUCACGCUAUCAGAUGAGCCUAGGUCGGAUUAGCUAGUUGGUGAGGUAAAGGCUCACCAAGGCGACGAUCCGUAACUGGUCUGAG